GGGGCUGUAGCUCAGUGGCACAGCACUUGCCUAGCAUGUGUGAGGCACUGAGUUCCAUCCUCAGCGCCACA
rnacentral:tRNA from 1 species